ensembl:lncRNA
UGGGCCACCCAUUAAACCAAGAAUGGGGAAGGUUGGCCAAAAUUUGCCUCUGGGAAGGGUCCUACUCCCCUGAAUUCGGUGGAAAUAGGAGUGAGAAGUAAGAGAUCAUCACUGCUGCCAUCAGAGAGUAAGCUGGAAGUUGAGCCCAGAGUCACUGUGACUCACGUCUUUCUACUUGGAAAAACGAGGUCUUGUAAUAGAGAGGACUUGAAGGGAUGUUAAGUGGAGACUAACCUGUACCAGGUUCCUGCAUCCAUCCGACUCUGUAUAGCACUGGUCGCCGGGAGCAGGAGAAAAAUUAAAAAAAAAAUAAAUAAAUAAAAAGACAUAACUUUGUCAACAAAGGUCUGUCUAGUCAAAGCUAUGGUUUUUCCAGUAGUCAUGUAUGGAUGUGAGAGUUGGACCAUAGCAAAAGCUGAGCGCUGAAAAAUUGAUGCUUUAGAACUGUGGUGUUGGAGAAGACUCUUGAGAAGCCCUUGGACUGCAAGGAGAUUCAACCAGUCAAUCCUAAAGGAAAUCAGUCCUGAAUAUUCAUUGGAAGGACUGAUGUUGAAGCUGAAACUCCAAUACUUUGGCCACCUGAUGUAAAGAACUGACUCGUUGGAAAAGACCCUGAUGCUGGGAAAGAUUGAAGGUGGGAAGGAAAGGGGACGACAGAGGAUGAGAUGGUUUGAUGGCAUCACCGACUCAAUGGACAUGAGUUUGAAGCGUUUAUAUCCAGGAACGUUCCUACUAGGAGUGUGAGUGAAGGCCUGUUUAGAUCCAGGUGGGCCAGAAGCUGAGGUGGAAGGUGCCUAGAUUCUUAUCCCUGCACAGGACAAUAAAACAGCAGAUGAUCCGGUAACAGUGACAAGAACAAAAUCCCACCUACAACUUAAAAAACAUGAAGUGAAUAUUCUUUUCCAUUAUGUGCAUAAUGAGGUAUUAAAUACAUUUCCCUGUGCUAUAAGGUAGGAACACAGAUGGCUUUUUUCUGACACUGACUUGAAAAGCAUCCCUGAAGCAACCAGACAGAGCCGUUGUGAGAUUCAGGUUCUGCUGGAAGUCCAGCACGAUGACUGGGGAAGUUUCAGCUAGCUGUGGUGGUAGAAUGGCCCUCCCUCAAAACCAAGUGGCUAAAAAGAACUGUUGACUAUUAGUGACAAGACAAUGCAUCUGCCGGAUGGACCCACUGAUCUGGGCUGAGCUCUGCCCACCUCCGCCGGGCUUAUUGGCAUCCCUUUGGUCAGCUGGAGGGCUGGGUCCGCCCACCUCCGCUGGGCUUACUGGAAUCCCUUUGGUCAGCCAUGGCCCCUUUUGGCCAUGGCUGGGACACAUCAGCUUUGCUCCACAUGGCCUUUGAUCCUGCCCGCAGGUCAGUCUGGAUUUAUCCACAUGGCAGCAGCAAGGUUCCAAUAGAGUGGAAGCAUGGAAGGUCUCUUAAGCUCCGGAGUGAACUGGAUCGUUGUCACUUUGACCUCAUCAUACCGACAAAAUCAAGCCCAGAUUCCAGAGGAAGGGAAAUAGACAAUCCUCCUGGUGGGAGGAGCUACCAACUCAUCUUGGAUGCAGGAGGGAAAGAAUGGAAGCCAGAUUUGCAUCCAUGUACCAAAGGGAACUUGAGUAUUCUCAGCUCGCAUGGUAAACACCUUAUUUUUAGGGGGGAGAGUAGGAUAAAAAUAAAUCUUAUGUGUGAAAGAAGUUCCCAUACCCAAUUUAGAGACAAUCUGGUUUAUUAAAAUAGAAGCAUCUCCCCCCAAUUUUCUUUUUUAGUUCUCUUAUUUCUACCAUUUGUUGACUAUUCCACCCAAUGUAGAGAGAAGCUUUCAUAUUUAAUUUGUUUUUUGUUUUGUUUUGUUUUGAUUAUACUUGAAUUAUUUUUGGCUUUGUUUGUUAAUAUAUUAUUGUGGAAUUUAGGUGUCUUAAAACACGAGAAUAUUUUCUAUUCUUCUGAGUUUUAUUUUUAGGUAUCUUAAAAUGAAUUGCUAUCCAUAGUGGAAUACUUGAAAUCAUUGUGUGAAAAGGUGUGAUUCAGUUUUCACUUCUUCAAGAAACAUUGUUGAGUGAGUGCCUCUUGGGUACUUAAGAAGCUGGGCUAGUUGCUCAAGAUACAGUAAAGAACAAGGCACACAAAAUCCCUGCGCUCAGUGAAGUGUGAACUUGACUGGGGUGGGGUCAGGGUACAGAUAGGAAGCCAGCAAACAAGCAAAUAAAAGAGUCAGCAAACCAUGACUGAUUAUACGAAGUGCUGAGAAGGAUAAAGCUGGACGCUGGGGAGCUUGAUUUAAUCAGAGACCUCCACCUCCACUUACAGGAGAUUGGAGGAGGUAAAAGUGAAGCAGAGGCUCUCUUUGGGAAAAGAAGACAGCAGUGCAAAGGGCCAGGGGCGGAGCGGUCCAGAGUGGGCAGACCUGGAUGAGCCUCAAGACGCCUUCAUGGAGAGUUUCAGGGACAGAAUCCAGUGUCCCAAGUGCCAUCAGCUCUCUGCUUCUGUCCAUCUGGAGUCAUCAGUCUUUGGAGUGCUUUCCUUCCCAGGGGCAGCAGUUGCCUCUCUCUCAGAGGGCUGCCUUCAGACCUCCAGAAUUCACUUUUCCUGAAAGUCCCAAGAGCUCUGAGUCCUGGGAGUGGACAUUCUUUGGGGCAGCCCUUUAGCAAUAUUGAUGAGAGUGGGGGUAUCAGUUCCCCAACUCCCUUGCCAAUGGGGUACCUCCCAGACCUCCCCUGCAGAAAUAAGCCAAAGUUGUGUUCUUGCCUGGAGAAUCCCAGGGACGGGGGAGCCUGGUGGGCUGCUGUCUGUGGGGUCACACAGAGUCAGACACGACUGAAGUGACUUAGCAGCAGCAGCAGUCCUAAGUGGGACUUUUCUUGAUUUCUCACCCUUGCUGGAUUUUCUUCUUUUUCUGUCCCACCUCCAUCACUCUCCUACUGGCUUUUCCUGGAACGUUUUCUAAUAAGUGACACUCUCAGGGAUUCUUGUCCUUGGAGGUGAUUCCAAGGUAAGGCAACCCUGGGCAGCCAGUGGCAUUGGAGCAAAAUGAAUGAAGAACGAGGUAUGAGAUAGGGUUCCAGAGACAGGUCAGGCACUGUGUAGCAAGUACUUGUACCCCUGUACAAGCAAGCAGGAAAUUGCAUUACCUAACGUACGUAUGCAAAAGCAUCACCCUGUGGGCAAUGGCCGGAGAGAGAAUUGGUUGGGUGAGGGAAAGAGUAAAACCUCAAACCAAAUUCAAAGCCAGUAAUCCUCCCUGUGCUGACAUCUCUACCAAUUUCUUUUUAUCUUUUCAAUUGGGAUAAAACGAUCUACCCUUUGGCUAUGCCUCAAAGAUGGUGUGAGGAUGAAAAGAUGAUUUGCAUAAACUUAUCGCUCGCUGCAAAAGAUUUGCCCAAUAAAAUCCACUAUUAUUAUUGAUAAAAAUAAAAAUAGCAAUGCAAGCUCAUAGCCAAUCUCUGGAGAAUUUUCAUACAUUAAUGGGAAAAUUAAGUGUUAUACUGAAGACGGGAGCAACUGUUGCUAAGUUUCUCUGUUGUUUGGACCAUUGUUGCACCUUUGAAUGUGUGCAGAAACAAAAUAGCUGACGCAAAUAUUUGUGACCCAACCUGGUUCAGCCUGACUUAGAGAUAAGGAUCUUUUGAAAAAUGGCAGCAAUGAAACCAGCAUUCCAGGUUUUUCCUUUUAGGAGAAAGGGAUAGCUUAUUUAAAAAUGAAAAAAAAAAAAGUAUAAAUGGAGAUUUAAAAAUAUUGGUUUAUGUUCUAGAUACAGAUACACAUAAAUAAUCUCCAUACAAAUGAGUUCAUGUG